rnacentral:rRNA from 1 species
UCGGUUGAUCCUGCCGGAGGUUACUGCUAUCGGUGUCCGAUUAAGCCAUGCGAGUCAAAUGUUCUUCGUGAACAUGGCAGACUGCUCAGUAACACGUGGAUAACCUACCCUAAGGACAGGAAUAACCCCGGGAAACUGGGGAUAAUACCUGAUAAAUUAGAGAUGCUGGAAUGCCCUCUAAUUCAAAGGUCCGCCGCCUUAGGAUGGAUCUGCGGCUCAUCAGGUAGUAGUGGGUGUAACGUACCUACUAGCCUACGACGAGUACGGGUUGUGAGAGCAAGAGCCCGGAGAUGGAUUCUGAGACACGAAUCCAGGCCCCACGGGGUGCAGCAGGCGCGAAUCCUUUACAAUGCAGGCAACUGCGAUAAGGGGACACCGAGUGCCAGUGAAUUUCAUUGGCUGUCUUAAUGUUUAAAACGCAUUCAAUAGCAAGGGCUGGGCAANACCGGUGCCA